GACGUAGGGCGCAAGCGUUGUCCGGAUUUAUUGGGCGUAAAGAGCUCGUAGGCGGCUUGUCGCGUCGAAUGUGAAAUUUUAGGGCUCAACCCUGACAUUGCAUUCGAUACGGGCAGGCUUGAGUUCGGUAGGGGAGACUGGAAUUCCUGGUGUAGCGGUGAAAUGCGCAGAUAUCAGGAGGAACACCAAUGGCGAAGGCAGCUCGCUGGGACGGUACUGACGCUGAGGCGCGAAAGCGUGGGGAGCAAACAGG
rnacentral:rRNA from 1 species